rnacentral:misc_RNA from 1 species
AAAACCACGGCUCUGCUAGAG